rnacentral:lncRNA from 1 species
CUUAUUUAAUUGAAGAAACUACAAAAACACUUUGAUGCAAAUAAUAUGUUUCUCAUGCCGUGCGAGAGUAGCCCGAAUAGAGGACGGGUCAUUCACGAAAUCUUGUGCAACAAUAGUAUGUACGACUUAGCAUUCAAGAAGGGCAAAAUUCGAAAAGAAAAACAAAGAGUCGUAAUCACGUUGGACAAAGAGCCAUUGAUUGUAACUGCAGCAAUACAAGAUGGUUCAGGCUCAAAUUCAGCUAGCACAAAGCUUUAAGUGCAUGAGUAUUCAGGUCCAAGCAUAACGAAACUCUUGCUGUCUCUCACAAAAGCUGAUUCUACCUGCUUGAUGCGAUUCCAACGUUUCAAAAUUCCAUAGCGCCAUCCUUCAAAGGCAAGCCAAAGAUUCAUAAAUUGUGAUCCAUCGAUCCGACGGCAAUGUAUUUUGAAUCAGGACCAAAUUUAACGCACAUCACUUUACUUGCGACCCGAACCAGAAUAUCAGUGGAAGCCACAUUCAGAGAUGCAAGAUUUAUAUAAGAAAGAAAGGAGGAGGAGGAAGGGGAGACAUGACCUGUCCCAGAUCAGGAAGAAUAGAAGAAUAGAAGGACAGUUCCUGAUUCUGGACAUGCAUUUCUAUUGGACAGAAGAAUAGAAGGACACAAAGUCACUCGAUCUUGAAUACUUAGGAGGCAAAAUAAUCCUCCCAUUGGCGGUGCAUAGAGUUAUGGUGCUCUCGGAGAAACUUUUGAAAUUUCGUGAGAGUAGAAAAGUUUCAGGAGAAUUCACAGUUUUGAAUUUCCCACCUUUCUGAGUAUGCGUUUGGUGAAACUUUUUUGUAAGCAACUUAUCAUAAACACAUUGUUUUCCGACUUUUCAGAAAAUAAUUUUCAGCUAUCAGAGAAAUUGAAAGCAACAGAGGCUAGCUCAUACAAUUAAAAUAAAGAACAGGUAAAUAUUCUAUAAACAAACACAAUCCUAUAUUACCUUAUUAUUCUCACAAGUCGAGUACAAAAUUCUACCGUAUAGAAACUCAUCGCCAGCAAGUGCAAGAUAAAAUCCACUAUAAUCAAAU